rnacentral:lncRNA from 1 species
CUGAGCCCAGGCUCCUAGCCAGCCCUGCCAAGGUGCCAGACACGUCAGUGAGGCCUCCUGGAAUCCUCCAGUAACAGGACUUUGAAUAUUAAUUGGAUAUACAGAGGCACAGACUGAAGACUACACUUUCCAGCCUCCCAUGCAGCUGGAUGGAGCCAUACAACCAAGUUUCGGCCAAAGGAAAGAACGUGGCUCAGAUGGAUGUGCCAGAGGAAAUGCACCAGGAAAUCCCGAGCAGGGUGCAAUCAGUCACCAUUAAUGCUCACAAGUAUCAAAGCUACUUGAAGAAAUACAGCUACUUAUGGAUGGAUGAUAAAAUUGAAUUCACGAAGCAGUUCCUUCUCCAUGAGUGAUUUCUUAGUGCUGAAAAACUAGAAUUGCAUGUGGACUAUGAGUGUCAGAACUCCACACUGCAGUUAGCACACUUUACAGAACACGUAUUGAAUUUUAGCUGAGUCUAGCAUCAUCUUUUUCAACUCCCAGGACAGCUGUUAAAUCAUAAAAUAUUUUGAGAUAUAAAGCUCUUGCCUCUGAGA